rnacentral:rRNA from 1 species
UAUCGGAACGUGCCCUGGAGUGGGGGAUAACGCAGCGAAAGUUGCGCUAAUACCGCAUACGAUCUAAGGAUGAAAGCAGGGGACCGCAAGGCCUUGUGCUCCUGGAGCGGCCGAUAUCUGAUUAGCUAGUUGGUGGGGUAAAGGCCUACCAAGGCAUCGAUCAGUAGCUGGUCUGAGAGGACGACCAGCCACACUGGAACUGAGACACGGGCCCG